rnacentral:rRNA from 1 species
UACGUAGGGUGCAAGCGUUAUUCGGAAUUACUGGGCGUAAAGGGAGUGUAGGCGGGAAGGUAAGUUAGGAGUGAAAUUUACGGGCUCAACCUGUAACGUGCUUUUAAUACUGCUUUUCUUGAGUAUUGGAGAGGUAGACGGAAUUCCAGGUGUAGCGGUGGAAUGCGUAGAUAUCUGGAAGAACACCAGUUGCGAAGGCGGUCUACUGGCCAAAUACUGACGCUGAGACUCGAAAGUUAGGGGAGCAAACAGG